AAUUGUUACUGAUAAUGGUAAUUUUGUCCUUGAUUGGCUAUUUGAAGAACAUGCUGACUGGGUGGAGGUGAAUACUGCAAUUAAAUUGAUUCCAGGUGUUGUUGAAACUGGUCUGUCUUGAAUUUGGCGAAAGUAGCAUAUUUUGGCAAUGCUGACGGCACAGUAAAAGUACGCAAAGCACCUGGUGUGCAGAAUUGCUGAAAUAUGUAGUCUAUUCUGUCAAACUGAAGCCAGUGGUUCUGAUAAAAAGGAAA